rnacentral:sRNA from 1 species
UUCAUUCGAUAUAUCGCAAGAGUAACUGAGUAAGUGACGAUGCACCCCUGGCAUUGUGCCUAUCGGAGUGCAUAAUCAAAACAAAAACAAAAAACAGCUGAUUGGGAAUUGCAUUACAUGCAAAUUUUAUGCUGCCAAUUGCUGCUAUUAUACGAAAUGCAGAGGAGCGCAGAUAUUGAAGAUAGCGAAAUUGCAUUAACUGCAAGCUGACUAGCAGCUGCUGCCAUAUAAAGUGCAGAGGGGCGUAAAACCGAGAUAGCAGAACUGCAUUAAUUGCAAGCUGACUAGCAGAGCACAUCAACUGCGGCAAGGAGAUUUAGCCAAGUGGGCUGCACAGCCAAUAGGGCGGAUAUUUAAGUUAGUUUUUAGUUAAUUCAAAAUGUGCAUCUUAGGCGCAAGUGCCGUCAGAUAUGUUCGCUGCACAUAUAUAUAUAUAUGUGC